rnacentral:rRNA from 1 species
UACGUAGGGUGCAGGCGUUAAUCGGAAUUACUGGGCGUAAAGCGUGCGCAGGCGGUCUUUUAAGUCAGAUGUGAAAUCCCCCGGCUCAACCGGGGAACGGGCGCGGAUACGACUCUUCUGGAGGGGCGUAGGGGGACCUGGAACUUCCGGUGGAGCGGUGAAAUGCGUUGAGAUCGGAAGGAACGCCCGUGGCGAAAGCGAGGUCCUGGACGCCUACUGACGCUGAGACGCGAAAGCCAGGGGAGCGAACGGG